GAAAUGCGAUAAGUAGUGUGAAUUGCAGAAUUCAGUGAAUCAUCGAAUCUUUGAACGCACAUUGCGCCCUUUGGUAUUCCUUAGGGCAUGCCUGUUCGAGCGUCAUUUAACCCCUCAAGCUCAGCUUGGUGUUGGGCGUCCUGUCCCUCCCCCCCCGCUCGCGGGCCCGGCAAGGACUCGCCUCAAAUCGAUUGGCGGCCGGUACGUUGGCUUCGAGCGCAGCAGAAACGCGAACUCGGUGCCUGGCGGGCCGGCUCCCACAAGCCACACAUCUUAUUUUGACCUCGGAUCAGGUAGGGAUACCCGCUGAACUUAA
rnacentral:misc_RNA from 1 species